AGUUGGCUUGACAGUUACAUGAUAGUAGCCCACAAAUAUGCAAAGAUCUGUCAUAUGGUAUGAAGAUAGACAUUCUCCAGAAGACAUUCUGUGACCAGAAGAUGGAAUUAAUCUUCUACAAACAGAUUAUGCUCUAAGAUGUUUUACAGCUAAAAGCUCCAUCAAGACUUUUUCACAACUUGUUAAUGGAACAAAAAGCAACCAGGUUGUGUUUCAAUAAUAAAAUGUAUGAAGAACUGCACUUGUUUCAAACAGCCAAAGGGCAGUCAAAAGCAGUGGCCAACCAGAAACAGCCUUCAGAAACUUCCUUUAACUGCCAGAUUGGAAGAUCAGCCUUAGACCAGUGCUUUAAACUCCAGUAUUUCUAAAUGAGACCUAAAGGAUAGGUAUAUCCUUUAGGAUAUAACUUGAUGGCUUAUUCUGUAAAACUUCUUCAGGAUAAUUGGGGAUGUGCAAAUCAGAGGGGAAAAGUGACAAUCAUCUUAGCCUCUCACAAGCCUAGAAGUGACAUAAAAGGCAAAAAGAAAAAGAAAGAGGCAAACCUAUUUCUAGAUCUAAGGGUUAACCUAAACCUCUCCCCAAAAAAGAGGGAUAAUUUAAAGUGGUAAAUGCAACUCAGUCACUAAGCAAAGUCAUGUCACAUCCAUUCAAUGUCCUACACAUGUGUAGUUCACAGAAUGGAAACAUAUAAUAAACGCCUGAGAAUUUAAAAUGCUUCAUCACAACUAUUGCCCAAGUGGCCCAUGUUUGGUUGAGAGGUCAGUAAACAGGCAGCAAUAAUUAAAAGUGUGGGCUCUUGGACCGAGUUGCAUAAAUGCAAAACUGGAUGUUUCUUAUUAAUAAACUCUAUGAUAUUGGGUAAAUUA